AGCCCCUGUUACGACACUGGCACAAAAAGAGAAACCGAUGUACAGAACACGUCCAAGUCCUGAACUUCUGUUACAGUUUUCCACAGCUGUUUUACUAUUUCAGUUUGCAGUAUAGAAAAUGGAGACAGAUCAGGCAUUGCAAGCUCUGGAGUACCCUCCUUGCAUCUUCUUCAUACUUGUUGGGCCCUGAAGCAGCAUUUCCUGUGUGAAUUUUUCAUGUGGUUUUCCCAUGGAUGCUGACUGCCCACUACUGGUUUAUUGACUGACUUUCAGAAAACAAGAUAGCUAUAAAAUAUUUUAAGAACAUAUAUGAAGAAAUUCAUGGCCUUUAUAAAGAAAA